rnacentral:rRNA from 1 species
GACGAACGCUGGCGGCGUGCUUAACACAUGCAAGUCGAACGGUGAAGGGACCAGCUUGCUGGUUCUGGAUGAGUGGCGAACGGGUGAGUAACACGUGAGUAACCUGCCCCUUCCUUCUGGAUAACCGCAUGAAAGGGUGGCUAAUACGGAAUAUUCUGGGUCUUCCCCAUGCCGGCCCCGGGAAAGAUUUUGUUCCGGGGGGGGAUGGGCUCGCGGCCUAUCAGCUUGUUGGUGGGGUGAUGGCCUACCAAGGCGGUGACGGGUAGCCGGCCUGAGAGGGUGGACGGUCACACUGGGACUGAGACACGGCCCAGACUCCUACGGGAGGCAGCAGUGGGGAAUACUGCACAAUGGGCGCAAGCCUGAUGCAGCGACGCCGCGUGAGGGAUGGAGGCCUUCGGGUUGUAAACCUCUUUCGCCAGUGAAGCAGGCCUGCUCCUUGUGGGUGGGUUGACGGUAGCUGGAUAAGAAGCGCCGGCUAACUACGUG